CAGUUAACCGAACUGUACAUACACACACAUCUCUAGUUUGCACUGUUACAGUGUUUAAAUGUGAAUUCACAUAAGCGUGCAUUCAUUCUGUAAUGAUGUAUUUGUGAUUUAACAUUAUUUGAAAUCUUAUUGACCCUAUUAAAUGCUUGUUUUUUUAGGGGACGUGCCAGUGCCUUUGUCAGGAAAAGAGGGUGGCACUGUCACAUUCCCAUGUGAUUCUGGGACUGAGAAUUAUACAGUUACUUUAAAGGCUGGGUCAAAAAAUGUUUUUGGUGGUAAUCAGGAUAAAGAAUAUGUGAACCGGCGUUUGAAAAUGGGGGCUGUUCCAUCAAACUGGAGCAGCUGAAGAGGAGUGAUGCUGGUUUAUACACUUUAAACACUUACGAGAGCACAUCUGAGGGGACGUCAGACCAACUAUUCAUAAAGACUUACCUAGUUUCUAUUAAAGAUGAGAUUUCCGUGAAGACAGGCGAGAAUCUUACAUUGAAAGUUGUGUUCCAUAAGACCAAGAAAGUGGUGCAUCAGACGAUCAGUGGCGAAAAGACGGUGUGGAUUAAAGGAAAAGGGGCCCAGAGAGAUCGACUGACUGAAAAUAAUGAGGACCUGAUCAUCUCAGGGUUUAUAACCAAUGAUUCAGGAAUAUACAGAGCUCUGGACUCAGGGGAAAAUACCUUGAUCACAGUAAAUGUCACGGAAAAUGUUACAGCGUCUGAUAAAGAGAGCAUCCAGGACAACACAACACUCUCCACUGGAUUGAUAGUAGGAGUGAUUGUGUCUGUUGGUGUUCUGAUUGUUAUUCUGGCUGUUCCUGCUACAAGAACAAAGAUCACAAAGUUUUUAAGAACUCUACAAAGGUGGAUCAGAGUUCCCACAAAUAACAAUUAAGGAACGUUCUUCCUCCAUGCUCUUUUGCAUCUCAGCACACCCCUGGCUGGACCAGCACCAACAGGUCUGAAGAGGAUUCUGUCAACAUGGAUCUGAACAUUUUGAAGUAAAUAUGAACACAUGGACUGCAGUGAAUCCAGUGAUUAGUCUGUUCACUUCAGCAGUAGGGAUGGGUGAUACCACUUAUUUUCUUUUUGAUGCGAUACCAAUAAUUUAAAGUCCUAUGAUGUCAAUACCGAUAGAAAAAAUCCUGUUGUUUUUACAAAAACAAUUUGGCAGCUGUGGUUGCCAGAAUAAUUAUGUAAAAAAUACAGUUAAAAUGUAAACCACUUUACAGAACAACCUGUUCAUUUUACAGUAUAAAAUGGUUAUGAUUUACAUGACCACAAUGGCACUUUAAAAAGAAAUUAUGUUAAAUGUACAGUAAAAAAAUUCAGAAACUGGAUAUUAUCCUUCUGAAACUAUAAAACUCUGCUUUUGACUUUAUAAAGUAUUUGUUAAACAUCAUAGUAACUACAGAAGUGCAUGAUGACAUGAAGUUCACCAAUAGUGACUCUUCCAGGAGCAUUGACCAAUAUAUAAAUUACAAAUAAAAUAAUGCAGUAAACAUGAACUAAACUACAUCAAAUAUAAAACAGAACACCCCAGUGUACGUGACUCAUAUUAAAAAUAAGAAGAAACAUAACUAUUCCCAUAAAAUAUAAUGAAAUGUAAUGGAUCACAUAAGGAAUUCUGGGAAUGCCCAAUUUUUUUUACUGUAAUUUUAACAAUAAUUUACUGUAAAAAGUACAUGUACUCCCUUGUUAAACAAUGUACAGUUUUACCAUUACUUAUAAAGGAAAAUCUUACAUUUUAUAUCUAAAAUGUUUAAAUGUAAAUGUUUACAUAAUUUUAUUGUAAAAAGUUUACAAUUAAAAAAAACUGUUUUUUCCCAUUGAUAACACACUAAAAUGACGUGCACAGCACAAUUAUUUAAACUGACACACAGAGAGUAAAACCUGUUCUCAAGUCUCCAAAAGUCUAAACACAUUUAUUUCUUUACACACAUUUUGCAAUUCAAAAUGGCACUUUUACAUGCACUGCACACGGUUCUCUGCAUAAGACACAACAAUCGGACAUUAUAAUGUGCAUUUACUGAAUGAGCACUGUGCCACUGUGUAUUCGACUGUUUGUACUGUAUUUUAUUUUAUAUUCAAUUAUUCUUAGUUUUUGUAUUUAUUUUGUAUUCUUAUUUUAAUCUCUUCUAUGUAAAGCAUUUAGAAUUACCAUUAUAUAUGAAAUGUGCUAUAUAAAUAAACUUGCCUUGCCUUGGACAUAAAGUCACGUGUUUGCCAUUUCAAAACACUGCCAUUCAAAAUGACACUACAUGUGCCACCUGGCCAAACACCUCAAUGGUUAAUUGUUGACACUUCAAUGAGGAUGUAAGUACUAUGAAAAGACCACAGGUGAGCACCUUUUGUUUUACAACAACAACAUCAAUGGAAGAUGUUGCAGAGGGAGGGUGAGCGGUAGAGCUGGUAGAGGAGUUCAUGGCCAAAGAAGACCCAGCUGUGUGGCAAGAUGCUACCUAAUUAUUUUUCUUGCCUCUUUUUUUUAUAUAUAUAUAUAUAUAUAUUUUUUUUUCCAACACAUUUUCUUUUUCAGUUUACUGUUUUUGUGAAGCAUAUUUUUGUUCAGUCCAAAUGUAAAAUAUCUGCUG